rnacentral:misc_RNA from 1 species
ACUCCGUAGGUGAACCUGCGGAGGGAUCAUUACAGAGUUCAUGCCCUACCGGGUAGAUCUCCCACCCUAUGUUAUUAUUACUUUGUUGCUUUGGCGGGCCGUUAGGCUCCGGCCCGACUACCGGCCCCGGCUGGUAAGCGCCCGCCAGAGGACCAAAACCCUGAAUAUUAGUGUCGUCUGAGUACUAUAUAAUAGUUAAAACUUUCAACAACGGAUCUCUUGGUUCUG